GCUCUGUCCUCACCACACAGGGCUCUGUCCUCACCACACAGAGCUCUUCCCUCACCACACAGGCUCUGCCCUCACCACACAGCUCUGUCCACUCCACACAGUGCUCUGUCCUCACCACACAGGGCUCUGUCCUCACUACACAGGCUCUGCCCUCACCACACAGAGCUCUGCCCUCACCACACAGAGCUCUGCCCUCACCACACAGAGCUCUUCCCUCACCACACAGGGCUCUGUCCUCACCACACAGGUAUGUCCUCACCACACAGGGCUCUGUCCUCACCACACAGGGCUCUGCCCUCACCACACAGGGCUCUGUCCUCACCACACAGGGCUCUGUCCUCACCACACAGGGCUCUGUCCUCACCACACAGAGCUCUUCCCUCACCACACAGGCUCUGCCCUCACCACACAGGGCUCUGCCCUCACCACACAGGUCUGUCCUCACCACACAGGUCUGUCCUCACCACACAGGGCUCUGUCCUCACCACACAGGUAUGUCCUCACCACACAGGGCUCUGUCUUCACCACACAGGGCUCUGCCCUCACCACACAGGGCUCUGUCCUCAUCACACAGGGCUCUGUCCUUACACACAGCACUCUCUUCGCACCUUAAUAUUGGAUUUCUUGGGCUCCUGGACAGUGAGAAAUAAAUGCUCUUCGCUCUGUGCCAGCCAGUAUUUCGUAGUUUUUCAGCAUCCCAAAUCACUAAGAAAAGCCUCUAAAGAAUUAUUGAUAGCUCUCUCAGUGGCUUGCUGUGGGCCCACACUGAACUCAGGCACUUUGUAA
rnacentral:lncRNA from 1 species